rnacentral:rRNA from 1 species
UACAGAGGUCUCAAGCGUUGUUCGGAUUCAUUGGGCGUAAAGGGUGCGUAGGCGGCGCGGUAAGUCGGGUGUGAAAUCUUGGAGCUUAACUCCGAAACUGCAUUCGAUACUGCCGUGCUUGAGGACUGGAGAGGAGACUGGAAUUUACGGUGUAGCUGUGAAAUGCGUAGAUAUCGUAAGGAAGACCAGUGGCGAAGGCGGGUCUCUGGACAGUUCCUGACACUGAGGCACGAAGGCCAGGGGAGCAAACGGG